rnacentral:tRNA from 1 species
GCCUGGGUGGCUCAGUCGGUUGAGCGUCCGACUUCGGCUCAGGUCAUGAUCUCGCGGUCCGUGGGUUCGAGCCCCGUGUCAGGCU